rnacentral:rRNA from 1 species
GUCAAGUCCUCAUGGCCUUUAUGCCCAGGGCUACACACGUGCUACAAUGGCCGGUACAAAGAGUCGCAAGACCGCGAGGUGGAGCCAAUCUCAUAAAACCGGUCUCAGUUCGGAUUGGAGUCUGCAACUCGACUCCAUGAAGUUGGAAUCGCUAGUAAUCGCAGAUCAGCAUUGCUGCGGUGAAUACGUUCCCGGGUCUU